rnacentral:rRNA from 1 species
UACGAAGGACCCGAGCGUUAUCCGGAUUCAUUGGGUUUAAAGGGUGCGUAGGCGGGCCUGUAAGUCAGUGGUGAAAUCCCUUCGCUUAACGAAGGAAUUGCCAUUGAUACUGCAGGUCUUGAGUACAGUUGAGGUUGGCGGAAUGUGUCAUGUAGCGGUGAAAUGCUUAGAUAUGACACAGAACACCGAUUGCGAAGGCAGCUAGCUAAACUGUAACUGACGCUGAGGCACGAAAGCGUGGGUAGCAAACAGG